UACAGAGGGUGCAAGCGUUAAUCGGAAUUACUGGGCGUAAAGGGCGCGUAGGCGGCGUGUUAAGUCAGCUGUGAAAUCUCCAAGCUUAACUUGGAACGGUCAGCUGAUACUGAUGUGCUAGAGUGCAGAAGGGGCAAUCGGAAUUCUUGGUGUAGCGGUGAAAUGCGUAGAUAUCAAGAGGAACACCUGAGGUGAAGACGGGUUGCUGGGCUGACACUGACGCUGAGGCGCGAAAGCUAGGGUAGCAAACGGG
rnacentral:rRNA from 1 species